GGCCAGUGUCGGAAUCCACACAUCCACAAGCAGCAUUUGUUUUCUUAACACUUUUUUUUUUUUUUCCCCCUUCCAGGAUAUGUAGCGGCAGAGGCCAAAGUCUAUAAAUUUCUGACUCUGCGCCCUACUCAUUGUCCGAGUUUCCGCGUUUUUCAUGAACGCUCUCGGCCGCCGGGAAUUCUCUUUGAUGGGAUUUCAGGUUUCAGCAGCAAGUCCUGUUUACUUUUCUCGAUUCUAGACCCAAAGGAAAAUGAUACUUUGCUAAUUCCCUCCUCGGAAAGCCCUCGUCUCCUGGUUCUUGUUCCUUGGGAUUAAAAGUUGUGACUUCAACUUUUUCUUCCUUGGCUCUAAGAUGGGAAAACUGAGAAAACAGCGAUGGUCAAAACUGCGCUGAUGAUCAAAGAAAGCAGACAGAAAUGAACCCCGGCAGCGAGUCAGCAGCCCUCCUCCUGGAUACUGAUAUACUUUUGGUGUCUAAUGUCCUGGGAUGCUUCUUGUCACAGAAAUAUUCGCAUUGUGAAGUGCACACAUUCAGCACCUUGGUGCUGCUAAAUGCCAAAGCAUCAAUGAUACUAUCGAGAAAUAGGAAGACAAAGGAAAGAAACACUGAGCCCAGAAAGCUUCCUUACCUGGAUUCUCUGGUUUUUGCAUUACUUGGGAAGCUAGUGCUAGACCGUUAGUCCACUGGAAAAUGCCAUAUUUUUAAAAAUGGUAAUCUGAGUCAUUUCCUGGGGAUUCUUUA
rnacentral:lncRNA from 1 species